rnacentral:rRNA from 1 species
GACGAACGCUGGCGGCGUGCUUAACACAUGCAAGUCGAACGGAAAGGCCCUGCUUUUGUGGGGUGCUCGAGUGGCGAACGGGUGAGUAACACGUGAGUAACCUGCCCUUGACUUUGGGAUAACUUCAGGAAACUGGGGCUAAUACCGGAUAGGAGCUCCUGCGGCAUGGUGGGGGUUGGAAAGUUUCGGCGGUUGGGGAUGGACUCGCGGCUUAUCAGCUUGUUGGUGGGGUAGUGGCUUACCAAGGCUUUGACGGGUAGCCGGCCUGAGAGGGUGACCGGCAACAGUGGGACUGAGAUACGGCCCAGACUCCUACGGGAGGCAGCAGUGGGGAAUAUUGCACAAUGGGAGGAAGCCUGAUGCAGCAACGCCGCGUGCGGGAUGACGGCCUUCGGGUUGUAAACCGCUUUCGCCUGUGACGAAGCGUGAGUGACGGUAAUGGGUAAAGAAGCACCGGCUAACUACGUG